rnacentral:rRNA from 1 species
UACGAAGGGGGCUAGCGUUGCUCGGAAUCACUGGGCGUAAAGGGUGCGUAGGCGGGUCUUUAAGUCAGGGGUGAAAUCCUGGAGCUCAACUCCAGAACUGCCUUUGAUACUGAGGAUCUUGAGUUCGGGAGAGGUGAGUGGAACUGCGAAGUGUAGAGGUGAAAUUCGUAGAUAUUCGCAAGAACACCAGUGGCGAAGGCGGCUCACUGG